GACAGAGGGUGCAAACGUUGUUCGGAAUUACUGGGCGUAAAGCGCGUGUAGGCUGCUCGGAAAGUCGGGUGUGAAAGCCCUGGGCUUAACCCAGGAAGUGCACUCGAAACUCCCGAGCUGGAGUCCUGGAGAGGAAGGCGGAAUUCUCGGUGUAGAGGUGAAAUUCGUAGAUAUCGAGAGGAACAUCGGUGGCGAAGGCGGCCUUCUGGACAGUGACUGACGCUGAGACGCGAAAGCGUGGGGAGCGAACAGG
rnacentral:rRNA from 1 species